UGCGCGUGCGCAAGUGAGACUGACUAGGGGCUCUGGGGCUAGCGAGUGGCUCCGGUGCCGAGGCCAGCAGCUCCACCUACGGCCAGCUCGCUCCGGACGCAGUUUUCUCUCUGAGCUUCCAAACCUAUCAGGGAUGGAAGAAAACCGUCAUGUUCUGUGCCUCUUGCCCUUGUUCUGCCGUGAGGUCCAGCCGUCAUGGGCCAGGCGUUAUUUAUCUUGGUAGCCUCCUGUGAUACCCCAAGUAAGCAGUAUGGUGCACUUAAGACCUGCUCCCUCCCUAGGCUGAUUCUGUAUUCAAGACUGAGACUGUGGAUGCAAACUAGAAAACAUGCGUUUCAAGAACCUCUGCGCGCCCAACAGCUUCAGCCUGGGGAGUCCCCUGUCUAGGGUGCGUUCUCUGCAUCUGAUGUACAAGCACUCCCACUCUCUUUUGCUUGAUAAAGAAUAAAGGAAGACAAGUGGCAGCUGCCACAGGAGCAGACUGAAAACAAGCCUCGCCACACACCCCGGUCUUCACAAAGGCUGAUUCAGAGACGCGCGGCCGACAAACCGAGCAGCUGAGGACUUCGGCACAGUCACCUGCCCCAAUGUUAAUUGCACAUUUAAAGGACUGUCCAGGUGACCUGAGGGUUUAACCAGAGCGCAUUUCCAACUGGCCUUUCUUUAAGACGGACAAGAGUACAGAUGAAGAACGGGAGAUAGCUGCAAAGGUCACCGACCACAGAUCUAUAGCCCCACCUAAUUCCAAGGAGACUCCCAGGGACCGGGAAGACCGCCGGAGGAAAGACGCAGCCGUGUACACUGUGAUGAAACUGGAGGGUGGUUUCCCUUUUAACAGUAUUGAUUCUUUCUUUUGUUAGUCUAUGAAGUAACGGUUUCAUUGUGACUUUUCCAUACACAUGUGUGGUUGUACUUUACACACACUGUUCCCAUUACCCUCUCUCCUUUGGUCCCCACUGGCUCUCCUUUUCUCAGUCGUUUUUCCCUAUAUUUUUAUGCCAUGUGUGUAUACUGUUGGAUCUAGCUUCCAUAUAUGAGAAUAUAUAUUUCUUUCUCCCCCCUUAACCUCUCUUGUUCUUUCCUUUAGACCAUUCUAUUCACAUGUAAAUAUAUAAAUUUAUAUAUUAUACAAUAUAUACUACCUAUAUAAAAUCUACACUCGGAGGAUGGGGGAAAACAUGCAAUAUUUGCCUUUCUGAGCCUGUCUUACUUCAUCUAACAUGAUGAUUUUCAGUUCCAUCCACUUUUUUCAGAAAUAAACCAGUUUUAUUUCUCUUUACGAUUGAAUAAAACUCCAUUGUAUCUACCAUGUGUCAUUCAUCCAUCUACAGCUGGGCAUGUAGGCUGAGUCUAUAUCUUGGCUGUAGUGAAUGGUGUAUCAGUAAAUAAAACUGGGAAUUGAAGAUGGUUAGACUGUAUCUAGAAGGUACUUCUUGCCUUCUACCUUACAGUAGUAGUUCAUCAGACAUAAGUGAUUCCAUUUCAUCUCUGUUGCUUUCUAGUUCUCCAGUGUUCAUGAAAUGUAUUAACUUUCAGAGACUUAGCUGCACCAGUGUCUACUGCUGAUAGUACCGGGUGUCAAGGAUGGAAACAACUUUUAAUUAAAUUUUUAUUUUUAAAUUUUUA